rnacentral:rRNA from 1 species
CUGCGAAUGGCUCAUUAAAUCAGUUAUCGUUUAUUUGAUAGUACCUUACUACAUGGAUAACCGUGGUAAUUCUAGAGCUAAUACAUGCUAAAAACCUCGACUUCGGAAGGGGUGUAUUUAUUAGAUAAAAAACCAAUGCCCUUCGGGGCUCCUUGGUGAAUCAUAAUAACUUAACGAAUCGCAUGGCCUUGCGCCGGCGAUGGUUCAUUCAAAUUUCUGCCCUAUCAACUUUCGAUGGUAGGAUAGUGGCCUACCAUGGUAUCAACGGGUAACGGGGAAUUAGGGUUCGACUCCGGAGAGGGAGCCUGAGAAACGGCUACCACAUCCAAGGAAGGCAGCAGGCGCGCAAAUUACCCAAUCCCGACACGGGGAGGUAGUGACAAUAAAUACUGAUACAGGGCUCUUUUGGGUCUUGUAAUUUGAAUGAGUACAAUUUAAAUCCCUUAACGAGGAACAAUUUGAGGGCAAGUCUGGUGCCAGCAGCCGCGGUAAUUCCAGCUCCAAUAGCGUAUAUUAAAGUUGUUGCAGUUAAAAAGCUCGUAGUUGAACCUUGGGCCUGGCUGGCCGGUCCGCCUCACCGCGUGUACUGGUCCGGCCGGGCCUUUCCUUCUGGGGAACCUCAUGCCCUUCACUGGGCGUGUUGGGGAACCAGGACUUUUACUUUGAAAAAAUUAGAGUGUUCAAAGCAGGCCUUUGCUCGAAUACAUUAGCAUGGAAUAAUAGAAUAGGACGUGUGGUUCUAUUUUGUUGGUUUCUAGGACCGCCGUAAUGAUUAAUAGGGAUAGUCGGGGGCAUCAGUAUUCAAUCGUCAGAGGUGAAAUUCUUGGAUUUAUUUAAGACUAACUACUGCGAAAGCAUUUGCCAAGGAUGUUUUCAUUAAUCAGUGAACGAAAGUUAGGGGAUCGAAGACGAUCAGAUACCGUCGUAGUCUUAACCAUAAACUAUGCCGACUAGGGAUCGGACGGUGUUAGUAUUUUGACCCGUUCGGCACCUUACGAGAAAUCAAAGUUUUUGGGUUCUGGGGGGAGUAUGGUCGCAAGGCUGAAACUUAAA